rnacentral:rRNA from 1 species
UGCGGCCGCGACUCCGGUUGAUCCUGCCGGACCCGACCGCUAUCGGGGUGGGGCUAAGCCAUGGAAGUCGAACGCUCCGCAAGCGCGGGGCGUGGCGCACGGCUGAGUAAUACGUGGCUAACCUGCCCUCGGGACAGGGAUAGUCCCGGGAAACUGGGACUAAUCCCUGAUAGGUGAAGAGGUCUGGAAAGCCUCUUCGCCGAAAGGAUCGAACCGCCGUGAAGGUUCGAUCGCCCGAGGAUGGGGCCACGGCCCAUCAUGGUAGUUGGCGGGGUAACGGCCCGCCAAGCCGAAGACGGGUAGGGGCCGUGUGAGCGGGAGCCCCCAGAUGGGCACUGAGACAAGGGCCCAGGCCCUACGGGGCGCACCAGGCGCGAAACCUCCGCAAUGCGGGAAACCGUGACGGGGCCACCCCGAGUGCCCCGAAGAGGGGCUUUUCCCCGCUGUAAGAAGGCGGGGGAAUAAGCGGGGGGCAAGUCUGGUGUCAGCCGCCGCGGUAAUACCAGCCCCGCGAGUGGUCGGGACGAUUAUUGGGCCUAAAGCGCCCGUAGCCGGCCUGGCAAGCCCCCGCUGAAAUCCCCAGGCUCAACCUGGGGACAGGCGGGGGUACUGCCAGGCUAGGGGGCGGGAGAGGCCGAGGGUACUCCUGGGGUAGGGGCGAAAUCCGAUAAUCCCGGGAGGACCACCAGUGGCGAAGGCGCUCGGCUGGAACGCGCCCGACGGUGAGGGGCGAAAGCCGGGGGAGCGAACCGGAUUAGAUACCCGGGUAGUCCCGGC